rnacentral:rRNA from 1 species
UACGAAGGGGGCUAGCGUUGCUCGGAAUCACUGGGCGUAAAGCGCACGUAGGCGGACUCUUAAGUCGGUGGUGAAAUCCUGGAGCUCAACUCCAGAACUGCCUUCGAUACUGAGAGUCUCGAGUCCGGGAGGGGUGAGUGGGACUGCGAGUGUAGAGGUGAAAUUCGUAGAUAUUCGCAAGAACACCAGUGGCGAAGGCGGCUCACUGGCCCGGUACUGACGCUGAGGUGCGAAAGCGUGGGGAGCAAACAGG